AACGAACGCUGGCGGCAGGCCUAACACAUGCAAGUCGAGCGGACAUCUUCGGAUGUUAGCGGCGGACGGGUGAGCAACGCGGGGGAACGCGCCCGUGGCUUCGGAAUAGCCUCGGGAAACUGGGAGUAAUACCGGAUGUACCCAUUGGGGGAAAGAUCUAUCGGCAAAGGAUCGGCCCGCGUUGGAUUAGGUAGUUGGUGGGGUAAUGGCCUACCAAGCCGACGAUUCAUAGCUGGGUUGAGAGGAUGAUCAGCCACACUGGGACUGAGACACGGCCCAGACUCCUACGGAAGGCAGCAGUGGGGAAUAUUAGACGAUGGGGGAAGCCCUGAUCUAGCCAUGCCGGGUGGGCGAUGAAGGCCUUAGGGUUGUAAAGCUCUUUGAGCGGAGGAGAUAAUGACGGUACCCGGAGAAGAAGCCCCGGCUAACUCCGUG
rnacentral:rRNA from 1 species